CUGCAGCCCGCGGUGCUAAGGACCCAGAGUCCUGGCAACUUCUUUCUCCCGGGCUUCCGCCUCAGUGCCAACGACUUCCUUUUCAAGUUUUGAAAUGACACUCAUUUGCAAGGUACCAGUUCUUCAUUAGAGGGAAGACAAGGCAGAAACCUGGAGACAGGAACUGAAAACCGUGAAGGAAACACUGCAUACUGGGCCUCUCCCAGGCUUCAAGGUAUGGGUCUCCAGGCUGGGAGCGGCUGGGGACAGAGGAGUGGAUCACACAACCGGGGAGAAGUGGAUCGCGACCUCC